rnacentral:tRNA from 1 species
GAUCAAGAAGACAAAAAUUUGCACUUAAUUUCGACUUAAGCCUUGAUAAUUUCAUAUUAUCCUUGUUCA